ACUGCCGGCUUUACUGAGCGCUCCAGCUACAGCUUGAAGGUGCAGAGGCUGUCACCAGACUGGUUGCCCAACGAAAUGGUUUAAAAUAUGUUACGAAGGUGGCAUGCUGUGGUCUGCGGUGGGCUAUGAAUUCUGCUGAAGUCCGUGAGGUUUUCAGCACUGCUGCUUCUUCUCACAUCAGGAAAAGGCGCUGAAUUUCCUCUUCAAGUUCAUGGGCAACCUGUAAUCCUAAACUCCUUGACAGAUACUGCCUAUUUCUUGACUUAUCUCUACUUUUUUAGAAUAAAGGAACUCCUCUGAAAUUGCCACAGUGUUUGAAUUUAUGGACCUACUCUUUUAUAUUACUUGCUGCCAGUGAUGUCUCAUGCUUGAUCAAAGGCGACAGCUGCAUUCUUCAAAGGGACAAUUGUGCUCAAGACAUUCAAUAGGUGUUAAGUGAGCAGUUGUUAGCUAUGAUACUGCUGGUGGCCAAGACCUUCCAGAACAGUAGAGGUGCUGUUACUGCUGCUCCUGCUGCUCAUCUUGCCUGCUGCAGCAGUUGGCAAGCACUGCCAGUCAGCAGGGAGUGGUUAGGGUGAAGGAGACCCAAUCAGGCAUACUGUAAUUUACAUCUGAUUGAUGAAUGCAUCAAGAGUGUGGAAACACCAAUUAGAAAUAAAACCUUAGCCACUAAGGAUUUUGGAUGUGCUUCUCUUACCCUGUGCUCCUGAGUGCUCCCAGAAAACUUGGAAAAUCUGACAAAUAAAAGAAAUUCAAAAGGCAAACUCUGUACA